AGAGUUUGAUCCUGGCUCAGGAUAAACGCUGGCGGCGUGCCUAAUGCAUGCAAGUCGAACGGACUAGCCUUCGGGUUAGUUAGUGGCAAACGGGUGAGUAACACGUGGGGAUCUGCCCAGUAGUGGGGAACAACUCCUCGAAAGAGGAGCUAAUACCGCAUACGGUCUGCAAGGACUAAAGCUCGCGAGAGCGCUAUUGGAGGAACCUGCGGCUGAUUAGCUAGUUGGUGGGGUAAAGGCCUACCAAGGCGAUGAUCAGUAGCUGGUCUGAGAGGAUGGACAGCCACACUGGGACUGAGAUACGGCCCAGACUCCUACGGGAGGCAGCAGCAAGGAAUUUUCGUCAAUGGGGGAAACCCUGAACGAGCAACGCCGCGUGGGCGAAGAAGUCCUUCGGGAUGUAAAGCCCUUUUCCCUGUGAAGAAAGAAAGACGGUAGCAGGGGAAUAAGCAUCGGCUAACUACGUGCCAGCAGCCGCGGUAAUAC
rnacentral:rRNA from 1 species